GAAGGUAUUCAUAUGUUGACAGCCCAAAUUUGGUCAAGUACAGUUAAAAUGGUACUUGUUUAACAAUUGAGUUAUAAUUUUGUCAUCUUGAUCCCUAAUUUUAGUUCGAUUUGUUUCUUUAACCAUUUCUAAUGUUACACUGAUGAACGAAUUUAGUUUGGAGACUGAGCUAUAUUAAGUCCUACAUCUGUUGGGUAUUGGAGAAAAAUGCUUCAUAUGUGAAUUGGGUAAUCCUCCUCCCACAAUUUGGCUUUGGGUUGGAGUUAGGUUUGGUCCAUUUUAUCAGCAUAGUAUCAGAACCAAUCCUAGUCUCAACAUUGUGUCACCAAUAAAUGCAAUUCUGCAAACGUCAAGCUCUUGAUGCUCAGUCCUGACCUCCUAGGCAUGAGAGGGGUGUGUUAAGUGCCACAUUGGCUGGGCAAUCCUCUUCCCACAAGGUGACUUUUGGGUUGGAGUUAGGCUCAGUCCAUUUUAUCAACAUGCUGAAAGAUUUUCAGGGGCCUAG
rnacentral:misc_RNA from 1 species